AACGAACGCUGGCGACAGGCUUAACACAUGCAAGUCGAACGAGAUCUUCGGAUCUAGUGGCAGACGGGUGAGGAACACGUGGGAACAUCCCUUUCAGUUCGGAAUAACGUUGGGAAACUAACGCUAAUACCGGAUACGUCCUUCGGGAGAAAGAUUUAUCGCUGAAAGAUUGGCCCGCGUCUGAUUAGCUAGUUGGUGAGGUAAUGGCUCACCAAGGCUACGAUCAGUAGCUGAUCUGAGAGGAUGAUCAGCCACAUUGGGACUGAGACACGGCCCAAACUCCUACGGGAGGCAGCAGUGGGGAAUAUUGGACAAUGGGCGCAAGCCUGAUCCAGCCAUGCCGCGUGAGUGAUGAAGGCCUUCGGGUUGUAAAGCUCUUUUAUCCGGGAAGAUAAUGACUGUACCGGAAGAAUAAGCCCCGGCAAACUUCGUGCCAGCAGCCGCCGCGG
rnacentral:rRNA from 1 species